rnacentral:rRNA from 1 species
CGGGAGAAACUGCCAGACUUGGGAGCGGGGGAGGUUGGAGGUACUCCAAGGGUAGAGGUGAAAUUCUGUAAUCCUUGGGGGACCACCAGUGGCGAAGGCGUCCAACCAAAACGCGUCCGACGGUGAGGGACGAAAGCCAGGGGCACGAACCGGAUUAGAUACCCGGGUAGUCCUGGCCGUAAACGAUGCGGGCUAGGUGUCACAAUGGCUGCGCGCCACUGUGGUGCCGUAGAGAAAUCGCGAAGCCUGCCGCUUGGGAAGUACGGCCGCAAGGCUGAAACUUGAAGGAAUUGGCGGGGGAGCACUACAACGGGUGGAGCCUGCGGUUUAAUUGGAUUCAACGCCGGGAAUCUUACCGGGUGCGACAGCUGGAUGAAGGCCAGGCUAAAGACCUUGCUGGACUAGCUGAGAGGAGGUGCAUGGCCGUCGUCAGUUCGUACUGUGAAGCGUCCUGUUAAGUCAGGCAACGAGCGAGACCCGCAUCCUUGUUGUAUGGCAAAUAGUCAGGCAUCAUAGGGAAACUGCCGUCGAUAAGACGGAGGAAGGAGCGGGCCACGGCAGGUCAGUAUGCCCCGAAUCUCCCGGGCCACACGCGAGCUGCAAUGUAGGGACAAUGGGUUCCAAUCCGAGAGGGGAAGUAAUCCCUAAACCUGCUCAGUUGGGAUUGAGGGCUGU